UGGAUUAUAGCUACAGAACAGCAACCACUUCACAACAACAAAUCGGACCAUAUCAGUUCAAUCGGGUAUGGUGUAGCGGUAACAUCGUUGAC